AGAACGAACGCUGGCGGCAGGCUUAACACAUGCAAGUCGAGCGCCCCGCAAGGGGAGCGGCAGACGGGUGAGUAACGCGUGGGAACAUACCCUCCGGUUCGGAAUAGCUCAGGGAAACUUGGAUUAAUACCGGAUACGGCCUAGCGGCGAAAGAUUCAUCGCCGGAGGAUUGGCCCGCGUUCGAUUAGCUAGUUGGUGAGGUAACGGCUCACCAAGGCGACGAUCGAUAGCUGGUCUGAGAGGAUGACCAGCAUCACUGGGACUGAGACACGGCCCAGACUCCUACGGGAGGCAGCAGUGGGGAAUAUUGCGCAAUGGGCGAAAGCCUGACGCAGCGACGCCGCGUGGGGGAUGAAGGCCUUCGGGUUGUAAAUCCCUUUCAGCAGGACGAAGCGAAAGUGACGGUACCUGCAGAAGAAGCGCCGGCUAACUACGUGCCAGCAGCCGC
rnacentral:rRNA from 1 species